AGUCGUAACAAGGUCUCCGUAGGUGAACCUGCGGAGGGAUCAUUUACCAAAAAUCCUUUCUCCCCGCAAGGGGGGAAUUCAACCGUGCUCGCCUUAAUUCGAAGCGGUGGCAGUCUUCGGGCUUUUUCGGCUUUUCGGAGCUAUGAAGCGGCAACACAGUGCUACAAAUUUCAAAAUAUUAUCUCUAAACCGAUAAUCGGACGGUGGGUAACUCCCCGUCUCAGAAAACGAAUCAACCGUUACUGAUGGAUGACUCGGCUCC
rnacentral:misc_RNA from 1 species